UAAUAGAAGUUCUAAGGAUGGAUUCAUUGAUAAGGGCAACUCUAGGAUUCAUCAAAUGGCUAAUAGGCGAAAGGUAGAUACCCAUGACGAUAGAUUCAAAAACAGGGUCAAUCCACUCUCGUGACAGAGACCCCCAUAACUCUACCACUUCCUAAUCUCAACUCUCGUUGAUGAAACAUAGCAGAGACGGUUUAAGAAACAAUCUACCAAAGCCAAUAGGCAGAAAAGCCUCUCUCCUUGUCGAGUCUACAAAUCUCUGGAAUUCGUAGGUCCGACAUCCAUUUGAACGUCUUUUGGACGCUGGACGUCAUCGAAUCUUCACAUUAGCCAGCGAAAACCGCAUAGGGGCCAAGCGAAUCCAGAAGGACAUAAACCUAAACACUAACCACCUAACGAACCUAGAGAUUACCCUAAUCUAAUCCAUCCUUAAGAACCCUAAUCACUACUCAAGCAACAUUCUUAAGAACAUAAACCCAGAAAUUACUAAAAUCAUACCAAAAUGUAGAUCUAAACAAGCUAAACAACUUUACUUAAACAAUCAAUUGCAAAAACGAAAUAGAUUAAGAGUAAUUAAGGUUUCAAGAUUCAUAAACACAAAGAAAAACUGAAAGAUAAAGCAUAGAUCCUUUGGAAAAAUCCCAAAGUGAUCUAUUUAUACUAAAAUGUUGGAAACCCUAGAUUCACUAGAAGACAAGAGACUUGAGGCGGUUUGGGCGAAUACUCGAUCUUGGGGAUCGAGUAAAGAGGGUGUUGCAAAGUCUGCGCCUUUGUGUCUAUACUCCGAGUGAUCAAUUGGUCGAGUAGAUGCUUCAUCCUCUCCUAUUUGUAUGCUCAGAUGUCUGGUUGAGUGGGGAAUGAGGAGGAUCCGAAGACGCUUUGAUAGCUCAACAAGUCUUGUAGAGUUGGUCACCCUUGGUCGAGUAAAUGGAUCGAGUAGUGGAUCGAGUAGGAGGGGCGAGUAGAUCAAUCUGCUGCUUCAUCUGAGGUUGCCUUGAUCGAGUAGGAGGGUCGAGUAAACUACAACCUCCUUUGUAGCAUCCUCGAUAGAGUAAAGAGGUCGAGUAGAAUGAUGCCUCUUCUGUAGCUGCCUGGAUCGAGUGAAUGGAUCGAGUAGAGUCCUUUUUAGCUCUUUCUGCACCUGAAAACAUACCAAAACAUGCAAUGCGAAUGCAAGAUGAUCCUAGAUGCCUAAGUAUGCAAAUUAAGCUAAAAUGGUGCAAAAUGUCAUGAUACAAUGAGCAAAUGUAAAGCUAAAUGAUGAUAAACAUACACCUAAAUGAGUAAAAUACAGUGUUAUCAUUACACAACAUACAUUUUUCAUUAUUUAGAUAUUUAUUUAUUUGAAAUAAUAUAAAGCAAAAAA
rnacentral:sRNA from 1 species